UGAUUGAUGGUGCUUGCACCUGAUUGAUUCUUGGUCGCCAACGAGUGGCGGACGGGUGAGUAACACGUAGGUAACCUGCCCAGAAGCGGGGGACAACAUUUGGAAACAGAUGCUAAUACCGUCAUAACAACGUUGUUCGCAUGAACAACGCUUAAAAGAUGGCUUCUCGCUAUCACUUCUGGAUGGACCUGCGGUGCAUUAUCUUGUUGGUGGGGGUAACGGCCUACCAAGGCGAUGAUGCAUAGCCGAGUUGAGAGACUGAUCGGCCACAAUGGGACUGAGAACCGGCCCAUACUCCUACGGAAAGGCAGCAGUAGGCGAAUCUUCCACAAGGGCGCAAGCCCUGAUGGAGCAAGCACCGCGUGAGUGAAGAAGGUUUCGGCUCGUAAAGCUCUGUUGUUAAAGAAGAACGACGUAUGAGAGUAACUGUUCAUACGUUGACGGUAUUUAACCAGAAAGUCACGGCUAACUACGUGCCAGCAGCCGCGGUAAUACGUAGGUGGCAAGCGUUAUCCGGAUAUAUUGGGCGUAAAGAGAGUGCA
rnacentral:rRNA from 2 species